GACGAACGCUGGCGGCGUGCUUAACACAUGCAAGUCGUACGGAAAGGCCCUUUCUGGGGUACACGAGUGGGGAGCGGGUGAGUAACACGCGCGUAACUUGCCCACCACUUUGGGAUAACGCUCGGAAACUGGUGCGAAUUCUGGAUAUGUGCUCCUGCUGCAUGGUGGGGGGUGGUAAGCUCCGGCGGUUGUGGAUGGACUCGCGGCCUAUCAGCUUGUUGGUGGGGUAGUGGCCUACCAAGGCGGCGACGGGUAGCCGGCCUGAGAGGGUGACCGGCCACAUUGGGACUGAGAUACGGCCCAGACUCCUACGGGAGGCAGCAGUGGGGAAUAUUGCACAAUGGGCGCAAGCCUGAUGCAGCAACGCCGCGUGCGGGAUGACGGCCUUCGGGUUGUAAACCGCUUUCAGCAGGGACGAAGCUUUUUGGGACGGUACCUGCAGAAGAAGCACGGGCUACCUAGGU
rnacentral:rRNA from 1 species